rnacentral:rRNA from 1 species
AGAACGAACGCUGGCGGCAGGCUUAACACAUGCAAGUCGAACGGUUGUAGCAAUACAGCAGUGGCGCACGGGUGAGUAACGCGUGGGAACGUGCCUUUCAGUACGGGAUAACGUCGGGAAACUGACGCUAAUACCGUAUAUUCCCUCCGGGGGAAAGAUUUAUCGCUGAAAGAUCGGCCCGCGUAAGAUUAGGUAGUUGGUGGGGUAAUGGCCUACCAAGCCUACGAUCUUUAGCUGGUCUGAGAGGAUGAUCAGCCACACUGGAACUGAGACACGGUCCAGACUCCUACGGGAGGCAGCAGUGAGGAAUUUUCGGCAAGUGGGGCAACCCUGACCGAGCAACGCCGCGUGCAGGAGGAAGGUCUUCGGAUCGUAAACUGCUUUUCUGUGGAAGAGAACGGACGGUACCACGAGGAAGAACGCCCGGACUAACUACGUGCCAGCAGCCGC